AUCCAGCUGACGAAUCACAAAUAGGAUAAAACCCACGUCCUGGAU
rnacentral:hammerhead_ribozyme from 1 species